rnacentral:rRNA from 1 species
GAGUUUGAUCAUGGCUCAGGACGAACGCGGCGGCGUGCCUAAUACAUGCAAGUCGAACGCAUUUUCUUCCACCGUAGCUUGCUACACCGGAAGAAAAUGAGUGGCGAACGGGUGAGUAACACGUGGGUAACCUGCCCAUCAGCGGGGGAUAACACUUGGAAACAGGUGCUAAUACCGCAUAAUUCCAUCUACCGCAUGGUAGAUGGAUGAAAGACGCUUUUGCGUCACUGAUGGAUGGACCCGCGGUGCAUUAGCUAGUUGGUGGGGUAACGGCCUACCAAGGCUGCGAUGCAUAGCCGACCUGAGAGGGUGAUCGGCCACACUGGGACUGAGACACGGCCCAGACUCCUACGGGAGGCAGCAGUAGGGAAUCUUCGGCAAUGGACGCAAGUCUGACCGAGCAACGCCGCGUGAGUGAAGAAGGUUUUCGGAUCGUAAAACUCUGUUGUUAGAGAAGAACAAGGAUGAGAGUGGAAAGUUCAUCCCUUGACG